UCACUUCAUGAACCUGCAGCUGCAGGCGCUCUACUGGACUUAAACUGGCAUUAACAAAGACACACUAGUGUAAAAGGGAAGAAAAGGUGGUCAGAAAGGAGCUGCAGGAAAAAAAAAGAGUGACCGCUGGGUAUAAAUGAAUCUGGCAAGACCUUUGAGACUUGAGGCCAAAUAUAACCUGUGCAGUCUACCUGAAAAUGCAUGUGUCAUCCAUCCACCAGUUUGCACCGACACGCUCUCUGUCUGCAUGUCUGCAGCAAACCUUGUCCUCCAGAGCUGUGGAGUGUGACAAUGGUGUUUGUUUCCUGUCCAUCAAACGCCAUUAUCACACUAAAUAGCUACAGUGUGAAAAGCACCUCAGUGUACGCCUUCACUUCUGUGUGUGAGUGGUUGUUUAUUGGCGUUCCUUUGCUUCUGUAUAAUCCCGCGUUUACACUGUAAAGCAUGACCAGCUGUGGCGAUAGUUCUGGACACAUUACACCAGGGCAGGAGAAGUGGUGAUGGAAAUAGACAUUUGGUAUGUUCAUGCAUCAUAUGUGAUGCUGAGCCUCUGAGUGUGACCCACUUUCUUUUGCAUUUGAGGUGCUGCAGACCUUAAAGUGGUUCUGCUUGGUUUACUGCUGCUGCCUUUGUUGCUAAUGUCUUCAACAUUUAAUGCCUCCUGCACGUUUGUCUUUUUCUGUG